rnacentral:rRNA from 1 species
GAGUAGUAAUUGUUUUGGGCAGGAAACUUAAAGAAUUUGGCGGUGUAUAUUCUAAUUAGAGGAAUAUGUUUUUUAAUUGAUACCCCCCAAGUAUUUUACUUAAUUUUAUUUAUUUUGUAUAUCUCCGUCUUAAAAAAACUUUUUAAAAUAUUUUUUAUUUUUUAUAAUUUAAAAUAAGUCAGGUCAAGGUGCAGAUUAUGGUUAAGUUAAAAUGUAUUACAAUAAAAUUAUUUUUGGAUUAAAAUUUAAAUGGUGGUUUUAUUAAAUUGGAUUUAUGAGUAAAUUUUUUUAUAAAAUAAUUUAUUGAAUUGUGUUAAUAUACAUGCACACAUCGCCCG